AUGUUAAUAACACAACAACCUCCUGAUAUAUAUUUCGGUCAAUUUAUUUUGAAAAUGUAUUUUGAAUCAGGAUUAUUCGAAAAAAAUGAUUCUCUUAACAAUAGUGAUUAUAACUUUAUUAUUAACAACAAACAAAGUAAUAAUAGAAACAUGUUAAACGAUUUAUAUUUAUAUUUUCUAUUACCCAUUUAUUUGAAUGUUAAAAAUGUAUAUAUAGAGCAAUAUAACAAUGAUAUAUUUCAAACGAUACAAAAAAAUAUAAUAUAUUAUAUUUUAAAUUUAAUGAAAUCUAUUUAUAAUUAUUGUCGAAAUUUAAACCAGGAAUUAAAUAAAAAUGAAUGUUAUAGUUUAAGCAUAUUUGAAAAACAUUACACAUUUGAUGGAAUAAGAACUACACGUAAGGUUAGUUUUAUUGAUACAUGUGAUGAUAAUAAUAAAAAUGUGGAUGGACAAGGUGAUCACUUAGGUGUUUGGGUUGGUAUAAAUGUAGGGAAGGGUGAAAUGGUAAAACUUAAUGAAGAGAUCGAAACAGGUUCAACACAAAUCCAUUUUGAACUGAUGAACUACAAUGAUGGACAUAUAAGAAAAAUGAACAUUAUACAAAAAUAUACAGAAUAUUAUAAAACAAGGUCGACUUCACACAACAUCCAUGAUCAUAAUUUCAAUAAUGGCGAUGUUAUUUCUGAUGAUUAUGAUGGAAAUGGGUUUAUUAGUGAUAUAAAACAUAAUGCAGUAAUCUAUAAAUAUGACAAAGGUAACAACAAUGACAACAGCAACAGUAGUGACAGCAACAGUAGUGACAGCAAUAGUAGUAACAGCAACAGUGAUAACAGCAACAGUGACAACAGCAACAGUGACAACAGCAACAGUGACAACAGCAACAGUGGUAACAGCAACAGUAGUAACAAACCGAGCACAUUUGAGUUUGUUUUAUUUUUAAACAAAUGGGACGUACUAAGCUCAAGCUACAUAUUAAGAUUGUUAAACAUUUAUAACAUUUAUUAUAAUAGCACAAAUGUUGUAUUUAGUUUUAAAAAUUUUAAAAAAUUUAUUUUAUACUGUUUUAGCGAUUUAUUUAGUUGGGACAUACUGAAUGAUCGAAAAGAAGAUACAAUAAAUGGAAACGUAGGAAGAGAAAAUGGAAAAAAAGAUACAAAAGGCGACAAAAUAGACAAAAUGGACAAAAUGGACAAAAUG
ensembl:lncRNA